rnacentral:rRNA from 1 species
GUGGGGAAUUUUGCGCAAUGGGCGAAAGCCUGACGCAGCAACGCCGCGUGUGUGAUGAAGGUCUUCGGAUUGUAAAGCACUUUCGACCGGGACGAACACCCCUGAGCUAACAUCUCAGGGCCUGACGGUACCGGGAGAAGAAGCACCGGCUAACUCUGUGCCAGCAGCCGCGGUAAUACAGAGGGUGCAAGCGUUGUUCGGAAUUAUUGGGCGUAAAGCGCGUGUAGGCGGCUUUGCAAGUCGGGUGUGAAAGCCCUCGGCUCAACCGAGGAAGUGCGCCCGAAACUGCAGAGCUUGAGUACCGGAGAGGAUGGCGGAAUUCCCCAAGUAGAGGUGAAAUUCGUAGAUAUGGGGAGGAACACCGGUGGCGAAGGCGGCCAUCUGGACGGAUACUGACGCUGAGACGCGAAAGCGUGGGGAGCAAACAGGAUUAGAAACCCUAGUAGUCC